rnacentral:rRNA from 1 species
AGCAGCCGCCGCGGUAAUACAUAGGUGGCAAGCGUUGUCCGGAAUUAUUGGGCGUAAAGGGCUCGCAGGCGGUUUCUUAAGUCUGAUGUGAAAGCACCCGGCUCAACCGGGGAGGGUCAUUGGAAACUGGGAAACUUGAGUGCAGAAGAGGAGAGUGGAAUUCCACGUGUAGCGGUGAAAUGCGUAGAGAUGUGGAGGAACACCAGUGGCGAAGGCGACUCUCUGGUCUGUAACUGACGCUGAGGAGCGAAAGCGUGGGGAGCGAACAGGAUUAGAUACCCGAGUAGUCCCUGUCUCUUAUAC